GCGAGUGUGGUGUAGUGGUUUGGAUGCUGGACUAGAACUCUGGAGACCAAGGUUUGAAUCCCUUCUCAGCCA